GGUUGGUCCCAGUGCAAUAGUAUUCGCAACUAACGAUCACAACCAGUUACAGAUUCCUUUCUUCCUUCUCCAGUCCUGCUGCUUCACUUGACUAGCCUUAA
rnacentral:Y_RNA from 1 species